UACAGAGGGGGGCAAGCGUUAUUCGGAAUUAUUGGGCGUAAAGGGCGCGUAGGCGGCCUGGCAAGUGGAAGGUGAAAUCCCUCGGCUUAACCGAGGAACUGCCCUCCAAACUGCUUGGCUUGAGUCCGGGAGAGGUGAGUGGAAUUCCCAGUGUAGCGGUGAAAUGCGUAGAUAUUGGGAGGAACACCAGUGGCGAAGGCGGCUCACUGGACCGGAACUGACGCUGAGGCGCGAAAGCAUGGGGAGCGAACAGG
rnacentral:rRNA from 1 species